rnacentral:rRNA from 1 species
GACGAACGCUGGCGGCGUGCUUAACACAUGCAAGUCGAACGGAGCACCCCUGAAGGAGUUUUCGGACAACGGAAGGGAAUGCUUAGUGGCGGACUGGUGAGUAACGCGUGAGGAACCUGCCUUUCGGAGGGGGACAACAGUUGGAAACGACUGCUAAUACCGCAUGAUACAUUGGGGUCGCAUGGCUCUGAUGUCAAAGAUUUAUCGCCGAAAGAUGGCCUCGCGUCUGAUUAGCUAGUUGGUGGGGUAACGGCCCACCAAGGCGACGAUCAGUAGCCGGACUGAGAGGUUGGCCGGCCACAUUGGGACUGAGAUACGGCCCAG